rnacentral:lncRNA from 8 species
AUCUAUGAUAUAUACAGUACUCUGUAAAGUCUCUCCUCCUGUCUGUGGUCAGGUCUGAUGGUAUCUAUGAUAUAUACAGUACUCUGUAAAGUCUCUCCUGUCUGUGGUCAGGUCUGAUGGUGUGGACCAGUGCUGGUCUGGUAGUCAUGGUGACAGUGUUAGGACUGGUCCUGCUCCUGUUCUACAGACAGAGGAGAGGAACCAGGAGAACACCACCACCACCAGUCUCCUCCAACACACAACCUGACCCUACUGGAGAGGUUGACUGUGUGUAUGAGGAGAUCAGAGAGGCAGACAGACAGACAGACACACUCCCUGUGGUCAUCUCUUUAGUCUACUCUACUGUCAAUUCACCUACAACCUACCCUGCUGGUCAAGCCUCUACAACCUACCCUGCUAGCUCUGCCACAGGUAGUCUACAGAUUCAUGUGUAACUGCACACGUGGAGUGUUUGAACGUGGGCGUUGACAAAUAAGUGGGAAGAGCAACAUUAGUGGGUGUAUGGAAACCUAACAGCUAAUUGGGCAGUUUGGUGGCCACUCAAGAUCGAUUUGUAUCGCUGCUUGUUGCUUCCUUGUAGCAUUUUAGCUAACCCUAACUCUUUUCCUAACCAUAACCCGAUUCUCCUAACCUGCUAGGUUAGUUCUCCUAAGCUACCAUGCUAGUUAUAAUAACCGGCAACAUUAAUUCUCCUAACCUGCCACAUUAAUUCUCCUAACCUGCCACGUUAAUUAUCCUAACCUGUCACGUUAAUUCUCCUAACCUGCCACAUUAAUUCUCCUAACCUGCCACAUUAAUUCUCCUAACCUGCCACGUUAAUUCUCCUAACCUGCUACAUUAAUUCUCCUAACCUGCUACGUUAAUUCUCCUAACCUGCCAUAUUAAUUAUCCUAACCUGCCACGUUAAGUAUCCUAACAUGCCAUUUUAAUUAUCCUAACCUGCCUAACUGGCUUAGCUAAAAUGCUACAAGGAAAACAGCAAGCAGCCACGCAAAACGGUCUUGAUUGGCAACCAAUCUGCCUUAUUAGCUGUUAUGGUUCCAUACACAGACUUAUGUUGAUCCUCCCGCUUAUAUCGCAAUGCCAACUUUCAGACCCACUCCACAUAUGCAGUAACCCAUACUUGAAUCCACACUGUGACAUCUAUGCUAAUGCUAGCUUCCACAAAGAUAACAUAAAUCCAAGCUGUUCUACUGUAACUUCCCAAAGAUAAUAUAAAUCUACUGCAGAUCACCCAGCUUCUCUCAUCUUCUCCAAUGUGGAUCUAUUCAAAGAUUCUAGAGUCUCUUCAAGUCCGCCAACAGCCAGUAGAACCCAGGAUGAUUCCAUCUAUUCUACAGCCCAGCUACCCAAAGAUUCUGUAGAAUCUACAAGAUACCCUGCUGUACACCUCUCUAAAGACACUCCAGAAGAUGCCAUCUACUCUACAGCCCAGCUACCCCAAAUAAUGUAGUACUAUAUAAUCUAUACAAAAGAUGCAUCCCAAAUGGCACCCUAUUAUCUAUCCCCCAUAUGGACCCUGGUCAAAGGCAGUACUCUAUAGCGAACAAGGUGACAUCUGGGAUGAAGGGAAGCUCCCUGUAGAGAAGUGAAGGGUUGUCACCAUAGAGCCGCCAUCUUGGAAUGACAUGAAAAAAACAAUCCCUUUCCUGUUUCAAAUCCUCCUUGACAUAUUGUAUUAAAACAGCUCAUGUGGUUUUACUGUAUAUAAUGUAUGUAAAAUAUGAACAUCUGGCUUUAAAAUCACUUUUAAGUCAACCAACAUUAUUGUAAAUAUUUGUGUAAAUAUGAACUAUGUGUUUUGUCAAAUCGCCUUGGCUUCAUUUUGUCUGUUAUAAUAAUGAAGACAGUAAUACCAUAAUACUCAGUUGUACCUUUGAGAUUUACAUAUAUGUUUAAAUCAGUGUACAUGUGGAGUGUUUGUGUGUGUGUUUGUUCAUGUGCGUGUGUGUGCGUCUAGUGUGUGUUUGUCAGUGUGUGUGUGUAGUUUGUGUUUGUCAGUGUGUGUGUGUAAUGUGUGUUUGUCAGUGUGUCUGUGUGUGUGUGUGUGUGUGUGUGUGUGUGUGUGUGUGUGUGUGUGUAGUGUGUUUGUCAGUGUGUGUGUGUGUGUGUGUGUAGUGUGUUUGUCAGUGUGUGUAGUGUGUUUGUCAGUGUGUGUGUAUUGUGUGUUUGUCAGUGUGUGUGUGUAGUGUGUGUUUGUCAGUGUGUGUGUGUAGUGUGUGUUUGUCAGUGUGUGUCUGCAGUGUGUGUGUGUAGUGUGUGUUUGUCAGUGUGAGUGUGUAGUGUGUGUUUGUCAGUGUGUGUGUGUGUAGUCUGUGUGUGCAGUGUGUGUUUGUCAGUGUUUGUGUGCAGUGUGUGUUUGUCAGUCUGUGUGUGCGUGUAGUGUAUGUUUGUCAGUGUGUGUGUGUGUGUGUGUGUCCAUAACAACUUGUAGUGUAGAGGUGAUAGACAGGGGGUGGUAAACUAGACAUCUAAGGGUGUUCAACACAGGCAGCCCAAUUCUGAUCUAAUGAUUGGUCUUUUGACCAAUCAGAUUAGAUAUUUAGCCAAUUAUUGGGUUGCCUGUGUAAAUGCAGCCAUAUUAACAAUGUNNNNNNNNNNNNNNNNNNNNCCCAAAAUAAUGUAGUACUAUAGGAUCUAUACAAGGGAUGCGUCCCAAGUGGCACCCUAUUACCUAUCCCCCAUAUGGACCCUGGUCAAAGGCAGUGCUAUAUAGGGAACAAGGUGCCAUCUGGGAUGAAGGGAAGCUCCCUGUAGAGAGAUGAAGGGUUGUCACCACAGAGCCGCCAUCUUGGAUAUGCAUUUGAAAACCCAAUCCCAUUCAUGUUUCAAAUCCUCCUUGACAUAUUGUAUUAAAACAGCUUAUGCGAUUUUAUUGAAUAUAAUGUAUGGAAAAUAUGAACAUCUGGGAUUAAAAUAAAUUGUAUCUCCAGAUUUUGUGAAAGUUUUUGCAAAUAUUUUUGCAAAUAUUUGUGUAAAUAUGAACUAUGUGUUUGUCGUAGCAUAUUCGCUUCAUUUUGUCUGUUUUAAUAAUGAAGACAGUAAUGCCAUAAUACUCAGUUUUUCACGUCCUGACCAUAGAAAGAUGUCAUUUUCUAGGGUAGAGUAGGUCAGGUCGUGACAGGGGUGUUUUUCUAUGUUUUCUAUUUCUAUGUUCA